rnacentral:rRNA from 1 species
UACGGAGGGUGCGAGCGUUGUCCGGAAUCACUGGGCGUAAAGGGCGCGUAGGUGGCGCUGUAAGUCGGGUGUGAAAUUUCGGAGCUCAACUCCGAAACUGCAUUCGAUACUGCGGUGCUUGAGGACUGGAGAGGAGACUGGAAUUCAUGGUGUAGCAGUGAAAUGCGUAGAGAUCAUGAGGAAGACCAGUGGCGAAGGCGGGUCUCUGGACAGUUCCUGACACUGAGGCACGAAGGCCAGGGGAGCAAACGGG